UACGAAGGGGGCUAGCGUUGUUCGGAAUCACUGGGCGUAAAGCGCACGUAGGCGGAUCUUUAAGUCAGGGGUGAAAUCCCGGGGCUCAACCCUGGAACUGCCUUUGAUACUGAGGAUCUUGAGUCCGGGAGAGGUGAGUGGAACUGCGAGUGUAGAGGUGAAAUUCGUAGAUAUUCGCAAGAACACCAGUGGCGAAGGCGGCUCACUGGCCCGGAACUGACGCUGAGGCACGAAAGUGUGGGGAGCAAACAGG
rnacentral:rRNA from 1 species